GUGUCGAAGAGUGCAGGGGGUGCGGUGGAGGAAGCCAGCGGUCCGCGGGGACCGUAUAGCUGACCCUUCCGAUUACGUUAGGUUGAGUCAUUUGGAUUACUUCGCUGUCUGCCGAGAGCGUGGCAUCGGGAGACCUAACCCUCAUCAGGAGUUUGAACAGAAUCACAAGUAACAAAAUUCAGCUUGAUAAUAUAAACUAAUGUAUGACUAUAGUGAAUAAAAUGUUUAAAGCCUUUACAAAUAUACUAUUUAUAGCCUGA